GUGCCACUAUUUUCUCAGGACUGUGAAGUAUUGUGGACCAUUACAGUCUGGAGAGUAUAAACUACACCUGGAGGCUGGAGGAAAAACGCAAACAAACACAACAAUUGUUUGUGUUCUAGAGAAACAAGAGCCAUCAUUUAGGAUAACAGAUAAUUACCUUUUUGUUGAGACUGUGAGUGUCUUGCCUGCUAACUCUACAUGGAUGAUGUCAAGUUUAUCAUCCGGCAACAGCUCUGAAACAAACCCAUCCUGGGAAGUGAUUGAGAGUAAUAACCACCCAGCUUCUGAUGACUUCUGUAACCAGAAACUCACCGGCAACGUGAGCACAAUAAAUGUACCGGUUGCAGCAAAAUUUAAGUUUUGCUUGACGGACCAAGCUGGGUCCAGGUGCAGUGAGGAACGUUAUGUGCUUCCAAACCCCAAAUUCCAAGCUUCCACAGGUAAGACAAGAUCAUUCACCCUCGACAUUCAUUCAGCAAUGUUGAUAUAGCUGACUUCUGCCAUGCUUACAUAU